GUCUAACCUGCCCACUGAAAUUUUUUAAAUGGCCGCAGUAUUUUGACUGUGCAAAGGUAGCAUAAUCAUUAGUCUUUUAAUUGAAGGCUCGUAUGAAUGGUUGGACGAAAUAUUAACUGUUUCAUUUUAAUUUUUUAUAGAAUUUUAUUUUUUAGUAAAAAAGCUAAAAUAUUAUUAAAAGACGAGAAGACCCUAUAAAUCUUUAUAUUUAAUAUUUUAUUAGUUAAAAGAUUAUUUAAAUUAUUAUUUUAUUAAAUAUUUUAUUGGGGUGAUAUUAAAAUUUAAAAAACUUUUAAAUAAAAAAUCAUUAAUUUAUGAAUAAAUGAUCCUAUAUUAUGGAUUAAUAAAAUAAGUUACUUUAGGGAUAACAGCGUAAUUUUUUUGGAGAGUUCUUAUCGAUAAAAAAGAUUGCGACCUCGAUGUUGGAUUAAGAUAUAAUUUUAGGUGUAGAAGCUUAAAUUUU
rnacentral:rRNA from 1 species